rnacentral:lncRNA from 1 species
AUUAUCUGCACCUGUUUCUUUUUUGGUUUUUGGAGACAGAGUUUCUCUGUGUCGCCCUGGCUGUCCUGGAACUCACUCUGUAGACCAGACUGGCCUCGAACUCAGAAAUCUGCCUGCCUCUGCCUCCUGAGUGCUGGGAUUAAAGGUGUGCGCCGCCACUGCCUGGCUUCUGCACCUGUUUCUUGUCCUGUUAAGAAGCUAAGCUCAUUUUGUUUAGAUCUUUUGCCCAUUUUUUUUGUUGUUGUUAUUGUCUAUCUGGUUGUUGGUGUAGAAUGUGUGUAUUCUAGGUAGCAAUCCCUUCUAAUAUAUAUGACUUUCAGAUACGUCUUCCAAGCCUAUUGGUUGUCAGUGCUGGGAAUUGAGCAGGGCCCAGGAAGAGCUCUCAACUGCUCAACCCUCUCUAGCCCUUAAAAAAUUGUUUUAAAUGUAUUGAUAACGGAUACAGAUGAACGAGUUGCCUUGUGAUACCUUGUGAUUUAUGUAUACAGUUUUAUGUACAAAUCAGGUUGACAUCAGUCUCCUCAGUCUCCUCAUCGCUUCCUUAUUUUCACUGGGUUUUCAUUACCACACAGAGUGAUGGAUUUUAUUGUGGCGUUUUCAUUCAUACUUUGUUUUGUUGACCCUCUGUUCACCCCCUUCCCUUGUGAUCUUCCCUCAUGCACGUUCACUUUCCCAGUAACCUUGUCUCUGCUUGGACGUCUCAUGUAUAUCAUAUGUAUUCUGUUUUCCUCCUUUCCCCACUACCUUUCCCUUCCUCCUGUCUAGGACGUAGUUAACCUCUUCAAACGAAAGUUUUCCUGUAGUGUUUUUUGUAGAGCUGAAUUUGUAGAUAGACAUUGCUUACAUGUAUUCUCAUGUAAUAUUUUUCUUUUUUUUUUUUUUUUUAUCAGUUGUGAUUGAUGGCCUUUCUGGUUAUAGAAGUCUCCCAGCACCCACAUGGUGGCUCACAACGCUCUAUAAUAACUCCAGUACCAAAGAAUCUAACGCCCUCUUUUGGCCUCUGCAGGCAGCAGUCAUGCGCAUGGUUUAUGCGCAUAUACACAGACAAACAAAUACACACACAAAAAGAAAAAACUUAAAAAGGCAUAAAGGGGAUAAAGACAGGGACAGGGCAGGGCUGAGAGGUGAGGAGGAAGGGGAAACUGGAUGCAAAGUUAGUUGAUUGAUUAAUUAAUUAGUAAAAAUAAUCAAAGACAUAUAGGAACUUCACAGAAAAUACGUACAAAAAGAAAAUCUCUCCAAACGUGGGAGAGAGUAUGCAUUUGUGUGUAUAUCUGUGAAAUGGAUAGAGGCCAGCAUUUAGUAUCUGGUAUUCCCCCUGUAAUUGUAUGCCUUAUUUUUUCAGAAGUGUCUUUCACUGAAUCUGGAGUUUGCAGUUUCCUAGACGACCUGGCCAGCACAUCCCUCUGUCUCUAUCUCUAACUCCUCCUCGGUGCUCGAACUAACAGCUGUGUGCUGGCACAUCCAGCUUCUACAAUGGCUAUUAGGAAUCCAUACUGAGAUCUUUUUUGCUGUUGUUUGUUUGUUCGUUUGGUUUUUUGAGACAGGGUUUCUCUGGCUGCCCUGAAACUCCAUCUGUAGACAGGCAGGGCUCAAGCUCAGAGGUCCAUACUCAGAUCUUAAUGCUUGAACAGCAAGCACUUUUCCUAUUGAGCCAUCUUCCUAGAUCUAUGAUGAUUGCACUUCUUAUUUUUUACAUUAAAUUUAUUUAUUUGUAUGUGGGAGGGGGACAUAAGGGGCACAGCAUGAGUGUAGAGAUCAGAGAAGUAUCUCUCCUUCCAGCAUAUGAAUUCUGACAUUAAACAACAGUCACCAGACCUAGAAGUAUGUACCUUUUGCACACUGAGCUGUCUCGCUGAAGUUCUUUUCUAUAAAGCCUUCUAUUAAAUGGAACACUUAAAAUGUUAUAUCUUGAUCAUUGAAAAGUAGCAGAUUCACAAACAGGCACCAGAGGGUGCUGUUUCCUAUCAUUGACUGGGCUAAGUACUUGCUUGGUUGUGUUUGCCUUUACACAAACAGUUCCUUUCCUACAUUACUGAAUGUUUUUGUACACUUUUUGGGUUUUUUUUUUUCUGUCCAUAAUGCAAAGAAAUGUUGUUUGAAUCCUCACAUAAAUUCUGUAAAUUGCAAGUUAACGUAUUUUUAGGUUUUGUUUGUUUGUUUGUUUGUUUUUAAUGUCCAUUGGUAUUUUGCCUGCAUAUAUGUCUGUGUGAGGAUCUUAGAUCCCUUAGGUCCCCUGGAGCUGGAGUGGCAGACAGUUGUAAGCUGCCAUGUGCUUGCUGGGAAUUGAACCUAGGUUCUUAUUGGAAGAGCUGCCAGUGCUCUUAACUGCUAAGCCAUAUCUCCAGCCCACAGAUUAACUUCUAAGUAGUCCUUUGGUAUUCUUAUUUACUGUCAGUUGUUUGUUUGUUUGUUUUUUAUCAUCAUCAUACCUACUCAUUGGUAUCUGCUCUAUAAAAGUCAGUGUACUGGGAAUCUUACAAAUGUUGAAUUUUUUUUUUUUUUUUUUUUUUUGUAAUUUUGUAAUUUUGUUCUAGCCAGGCACAACACACCUUUAUUCCCACCACUCAGGAGACAGAGCCAGGAGGAGUUCCAGACCAGCCAAGUUCGUUUCAAAAUAAAUAAAUCAAACAGGGUUUUACUACAUAGGCCCAGACUAGUCUCCAGUUCUGAUUCGUGGCCUCCGAGUGCUGGAGUUAUAUGUGAACAACACCACACCCUGUUAGAUGUGUUUUAGACCAAGAGAUUUGAGCGGUUUUGUUGUUGCUUUGAAGCACAGUCUUCAAGGUUGCCCAGCUGGUCUUGCCACUGAACUUCACCUUUUACCUCUGCAGUAGUCCUCGGAGGUGCACCAGUGUACAGAGCACACUACACAGGUAGGUAGCUGCCGCAAGCUCCUCCUGCCAGUCAGUCUGCCAGUGUACAGUUCAUGGAAAACUAAAUUAGAUAAUGACUUUCGCCAUUCAGUAGAUUGUAAAGUAACCUCCCUCAGGUGGGUCAUGGAUGUGAUUUGAAAGUCUUAGAAAGCUCUUUCUACCCCAAAAUAAAUUUUACCGUGGUUCAGUUUCUUUGUUUCUAGUCACAAUAUGACUACCAAGUGAAGAUGUUUUGUGAGGAAUUUGUAGUUUUAAAAAUUAAUACUUUUUAUGUUAAAUUACUUUAUGGUUUGUGGGGGGUUGGUUUUGUUUUGUUAGGUAUUUUUAUUUUUUGCCAAACUUUAGUAGAAUAGAAGUUACUGUUUUAUGUCCUAGAAAGAAAAUAAGCUUAAUUUGUGCUGUGUUUGGGAGGAGAGAUUGAAGCUGAGGUCUCUAGAUACUGAACAUUCCAUGUCAGAUAACACUGCUAGUUUGGAAAUUUAUUUAGGAUUAAUUAAGCCUUGCUCACUGGAUACCAGAAGCCUGGGGAGGUAUGACUCAUUUAAGGAAAAGGAGGAAGUUUAUAUUCUCCAAGAGGAGUAGGCUUUUUUUUUUUUUUGGUUGGUUGUGUUUUGGGUUGUUGUCGUCCUACUCAGCUGUAUGGCUUGUAGUGCUAUCUACUAAGUAGUGAGGCUCCUUGGCCUGGGUACUCAUCAGCCCGCCUGUUUCUUCUCUUAUGUUUGUACCAGUGCAGGUGUAGGUGAGGCUGAGGACCAGUUUUUCUUUUCAUAAACCUAGCCCUGGGUCUUUCAAGCAUUAAAUGACUGUGUGGUCUUUGGGACAUUCCUUCUCUAAGUGUGGUAUCCAGUGUUUACAUCUGCUAAAGAAAAGAAAAAAAAAUCUGAUAACUGGAUGCACUUAAAAUAUUUAGCAUCCAGAGUUUUCCAAAAGUUUGGUAACCCUUGCCAUAGGAAACACUGAAAACUAAAGUGAGACAGCCCGUGAUUUGGAAGGAGAGGAAGGACUGUGCUCGGAGAAGAAGGCCAGACUCAUACAGGCCUAGAGGGCUGUUGUCACAUAUAGAGUGGAGUGGCUUUGGUAUGUCCUAAGGCUUCAUGCUGAGCAUCAGCAACUCCAGGUCUUGACAGGCCUGUAUACCUGGAAUCCCUGCAUUCAAGAGUGAGACAAGAGGAGAAAAAGAGGCAAAGCAAAAAGAGAUGGAGACCACAGUCUACAUUUUUAAGAAGUUCACUGAAGUAAGACUCUAUAGGAAGUCAGCCACCUUGUCUGGCAGAUUGUGUCUUUGUGAACCAAGGGCCCUGUUUUGUAAGUUUCAGUUACAGUAUGGACAUGUGCUGGUAUAUAUCUGUAGACAUAACUAAAAUAAGCCUCACAAUCUAAAUUCCUCCUCGUGUUUCUAUGAAGUUCCUGAACUUGAGUUACCCAGCAAAUACUUGUUGUCUACAAGCUGUUUGCCACACUCUAGGGAUCAUUGAGGAAAAUGGCCCCUCAGUGAGCAUCGUAUGGUGGGACAAAUGUAAGGGUGUUUCCUGUGACGUUCAGUGAAAUCUCAGCCAAGAGCUCCCACUGCCUCAUUGGGAAGGCUCCAGAGAAUGGGAACAGCAUGAACCGUGAGUUCAUUUGGAUAGAGAAUAGCAGAGUCAAUAGCUGUGCUGAUCUGGGGUACAGUGAGGAAGAAGCCAGUUAGUUGUUGGAAGAAGCAGGUAAAUCUCUGAGUUCAAGACCAGCUUUGUCUAUAUAGUGAUUUUCAGGCCAAGACCACAUAGUGAUACCUUGUCUCC